rnacentral:rRNA from 1 species
AGUGAACGCUGGCGGUAGGCCUAACACAUGCAAGUCGAACGGCAGCACAGUAAGAGCUUGCUCUUACGGGUGGCGAGUGGCGGACGGGUGAGGAAUACAUCGGAAUCUACUUUUUCGUGGGGGAUAACGUAGGGAAACUUACGCUAAUACCGCAUACGACCUACGGGUGAAAGCAGGGGAUCUUCGGACCUUGCGCGAUUGAAUGAGCCGAUGUCGGAUUAGCUAGUUGGCGGGGUAAAGGCCCACCAAGGCGACGAUCCGUAGCUGGUCUGAGAGGAUGAUCAGCCACACUGGAACUGAGACACGGUCCAGACUCCUACGGGAGGCAGCAGUGGGGAAUAUUGGACAAAGGGCGCAAGCCUGAUCCAGCCAUACCGCGUGGGUGAAGAAGGCCUUCGGGUUGUAAAGCCCUUUUGUUGGGAAAGAAAAGCAGCAGGUUAAUACCCCGCUGUUCUGACGGUACCCAAAGAAUAAGCACCGGCUAACAUCGUG